rnacentral:rRNA from 1 species
GACGAACGCUGGCGGCGUGCUUAACACAUGCAAGUCGAGCGGUAAGGCCCUUUCGGGGGUACGACGAGCGGCGAACGGGUGAGUAACACGUGGGUGACCUGCCCUCAGCUCUGGGAGUAAGCCUGGGAAACCGGGGUACUAAUACCGGAUAUGACUCCAUGACGCAUGUUGUGGGGUGGAAAGCCUUGUGCGGCUGAGGAUGGGCCCGCGGCCUAUCAGCUUGUUGGUGGGGUGAUGGCCUACCAAGGCGACGACGGGUAGCCGGCCUGAGAGGGCGACCGGCCACACUGGGACUGAGACACGGCCCAGACUCCUACGGGAGGCAGCAGUGGGGAAUCUUGCGCAAUGGGCGAAAGCCUGACGCAGCGACGCCGCGUGAGGGAUGA